rnacentral:rRNA from 1 species
UACGUAGGGUGCGAGCGUUGUCCGGAAUUAUUGGGCGUAAAGAGCUUGUAGGCGGUUUGUCGCGUCUGCCGUGAAAAUUCGAGGCUCAACCUCGAACUUGCGGUGGGUACGGGCAGACUAGAGUGUGGUAGGAGAGACUGGAAUUCCUGGUGUAGCGGUGAAAUGCGUAGAUAUGUGGAGGAACACCGAUGGCGAAGGCAGCCCCCUGGGUCAAAAACUGACGCUCAUGCACGAAAGCGUGGGGAGCAAACAGG